rnacentral:rRNA from 1 species
UUAAGUGAAUAAGGGCGCACGGUGGAUGCCUUGGCACUAGGAGCCGAUGAAGGACGGGACUAACACCGAUAUGCUUUGGGGAGCUGUACGUAAGCUAUGAUCCAGAGAUUUCCGAAUGGGGGAACCCAACAUCUUUAAUAGGAUGUUACGAUUGUGUGAAUACAUAGCACAUUCGAGGUAGACGCAGAGAACUGAAACAUCUAAGUACCUGCAGGAAGAGAAAGAAAAUUCGAUUCCCUGAGUAGCGGCGAGCGAAACGGGAAAAGCCCAAACCAGCAAGCUUGCUUGUUGGGGUUGUAGGACUCCAAUAUGGUAGUUCUUUCAGAUAGUCGAAUGACUUGGAAAAGUCAGUCAAAGAGGGUAAAAACCCCGUAGACGAAAUGUGGAAGACACCUAGGAGGAUCCUGAGUACGGCGGAACACGAGAAAUUCCGUCGGAAUCCGGGAGGACCAUCUCCCAAGGCUAAAUACUCCCUAGUGACCGAUAGUGAACCAGUACCGUGAGGGAAAGGUGAAAAGCACCCCGGAAGGGGAGUGAAAUAGAACCUGAAACCGUGUGCCUACAACAAGUCAAAGCCCGUUAAUGGGUGAUGGCGUGCCUUUUGUAGAAUGAACCGGCGAGUUACGAUUGCAUGCGAGGUUAAGUUGAAGAGACGGAGCCGCAGCGAAAGCGAGUCUGAAUAGGGCGUUUGAGUAUGUAGUCGUAGACCCGAAACCAUGUGAUCUACCCAUGUCCAGGUUGAAGGUGCGGUAAAACGCACUGGAGGACCGAACCCACGUACGUUGAAAAGUGCGGGGAUGAGGUGUGGGUAGCGGAGAAAUUCCAAACGAACUUGGAGAUAGCUGGUUCUCUCCGAAAUAGCUUUAGGGCUAGCCUCGGAAUUGAGAAUGAUGGAGGUAGAGCACUGUUUGGACUAGGGGCCCAUCUCGGGUUACCGAAUUCAGAUAAACUCCGAAUGCCAUUCAUUCAUAUCCGGGAGUCAGACUGUGAGUGAUAAGAUCCAUAGUCGAAAGGGAAACAGCCCAGACCACCAGCUAAGGUCCCAAAAUAUAUGUUAAGUGGAAAAGGAUGUGGGGUUGCACAGACAACUAGGAUGUUGGCUUAGAAGCAGCCACCAUUUAAAGAGUGCGUAAUAGCUCACUAGUCGAGUGACCCUGCGCCGAAAAUGUACCGGGGCUAAACAUAUUACCGAAGCUGUGGAGUACACCUUUAGGUGUAUUGGUAGGAGAGCGUUCUAAGGGCGUUGAAGGCAGAUCGUGAGGACUGCUGGAGCGCUUAGAAGUGAGAAUGCCGGUAUGAGUAGCGAAAGACAGGUGAGAAUCUUAUCUAUAGUAUUUUGUUCACACAAGUAGUAGGGAAGUCAACGAACCGAAUGCGUAUCGGUCUGCCGAGGCCGACAGGCGUAGGCGAUGGAUAACAGGUUGAUAUUCCUGUACCCGUUGUUUUUGUUUGAGCAAUGGAGGGACGCAGGAGGCUAAGGAAUGCAGACGAUCGGAAAUGUCUGUCCAAGCAGUAAGUCUGAAGAGGAGUCAAAUGCUUCUUUUCUUAAGGACAAGCUGUGAUGGGGAGGGAAAUAAUAGUACCGAAGUUCCUGAUGUCACACUGCCGAGAAAAGCUUCUAGUGAGAAAACAGCGGCCCGUACCGCAAACCGACACAGGUAGUCGAGGAGAGAAUCCUAAGGUGAGCGAGAGAACUCUCGUUAAGGAACUCGGCAAAAUGACCCCGUAACUUCGGGAGAAGGGGUGCUGAUCAUACGAUCAGCCGCAGUGAAUAGGCCCAAGCGACUGUUUAUCAAAAACACAGGUCUCUGCAAAAUCGUAAGAUGAAGUAUAGGGGCUGACGCCUGCCCGGUGCUGGAAGGUUAAGAGGAGUGCUUAGCGCAAGCGAAGGUACGAAUUGAAGCCCCAGUAAACGGCGGCCGUAACUAUAACGGUCCUAAGGUAGCGAAAUUCCUUGUCGGGUAAGUUCCGACCCGCACGAAAGGCGUAACGAUUUGGGCACUGUCUCAACGAGAGACUCGGUGAAAUUUUAGUACCUGUGAAGAUGCAGGUUACCCGCGACAGGACGGAAAGACCCCAUGGAGCUUUACUGUAGUUUGAUAUUGAGUGUCUGUACCGCAUGUACAGGAUAGGUAGGAGCCGUAGAAAUCGGAACGCUAGUUUCGAAGAUGUCUCGAUCAAUGUGGACAAAGGAGAAAUGGUUGCUCUUGUUGGCACCACUAAUCGUGGUGGGAGACAGUGUCAGAUGGGCAGUUUGACUGGGGCGGUCGCCUCCUAAAAGGUAACGGAGGCGCCCAAAGGUUCCCUCAGAAUGGUUGGAAAUCAUUCGAAGAGUGUAAAGGCAGAAGGGAGCUUGACUGCGAGACCAACAAGUCGAGCAGGGACGAAAGUCGGGCUUAGUGAUCCGGUGGUUCCGCAUGGAAGGGCCAUCGCUCAACGGAUAAAAGCUACCCUGGGGAUAACAGGCUUAUCUCCCCCAAGAGUCCACAUCGACGGGGAGGUUUGGCACCUCGAUGUCGGCUCGUCGCAUCCUGGGGCUGUAGUCGGUCCCAAGGGUUGGGCUGUUCGCCCAUUAAAGCGGCACGCGAGCUGGGUUCAGAACGUCGUGAGACAGUUCGGUCCCUAUCCGUCGCGGGCGUUGGAAAUUUGAGAGGAGCUGUCCUUAGUACGAGAGGACCGGGAUGGACUUACCGCUGGUGUACCAGUUGUUCUGCCAAGGGCAUUGCUGGGUAGCUAUGUAGGGAAGGGAUAAACGCUGAAAGCAUCUAAGUGUGAAGCCCACCUCAAGAUGAGAUUUCCCAUUUCUUUAAGAAAGUAAGAUCCCUGAGAGAUGAUCAGGUAGAUAGGUCAGGAGUGGAAGUACAGUGAUGUAUGGAGCGGACUGAUACUAAUCGAUCGAGGACUUAACC